AUACAUCUAGAUCCAUACCCCUAAACUCCCUAGAUGUUUUUUUGGAUAGCGAUUAUCGCUGUCCUUUUUUA
rnacentral:sRNA from 1 species